GGCCGACUCCCUGCCAUCAGCAAUAUAAUGAGAAACUUACUGUACUAGAUCUGCACGUGAACACGACAGGAUGGGUAAAGACUUAAACCAGCAGAUUUCCUAACGAGUCCUGAGGAGCUCCAUUGUUGUCCAGAACCUCUCUGCUGCACUGGGUCACGUGUUCCUUCAUCACCGCGGACGCACACACUGCAGUUUAUAAUGACUCAGUGACAAUCACACCGUCCUGCUGCCCCAAACACUCACAACACAUGUGGAUCCAUCCGCCGCUGGAAAUAGUUCCCAACUAAUGCACAGUUUCCUCCUGUUUGUUUGUCUGAUGCUUCAUCAGUGGCAGCAGGCGGAGCAAGUGUAAAGGACACCUGUGGGAAAGAUACACGAGGAAACAGACGAUGAUGUGGCCGAAACACUAGACAAGUGACGAAGACGAAUCCGACGACUAACGAUGGAAGAACACUGACCUACAAAGAUGAAG